AAAUCGUUUUGGGGACAAUUUCUUAUUAAUCCCUUGUAACGCUCCCAAGCUUUGUAUAGUGACUCACUCAGUUGUUGCUCAAAUUUUGCUAUGGCCAUUUUGAGUUU